rnacentral:lncRNA from 1 species
GGAGGAGGGGGCCGUGUGGAAACGGUGCGGGGCUUUGGGUUGGAUAUUAGGAAGAAGUUUUUCACACAGAGGUGGUGCCACUCUGGAACAGGUUGCCCGAGGAGGCUGUGGAUGCCCCAUCCCUGGAGGCAUUCAAGGCCACGCUGGAUGUGGUUCUGGGCAGCCUGGUCUGGAGGUUGGCAACCCUGCACAUAGCAGGGAGGUUGAAAGUCAAUGAUCAUUGUGGUCCUUUUCAACCAAGCCCAUUCUACGAUUCUAUGCACUAGAUUAGGCUGGCCAUGGUUCCUAUCCAACCUAGCCUCUUUUUAUGCCUUACAACUUAGCCACUUUGUACGUCUCUUUUCAGAAAGAAAACAAAGAUAUACCGAUUCAGACUACUUUAACACUUCCAUGCAAAUGCACUCUUCUAAUAUUUUUUAAAUGGAUCUUUUUGUUUUGUUUUUGCUCUGAGAAUUCUUCCUUCCACUCUAACACAUUGGUAAAAUGAAAGGCUGUCUAGUACUGCAUUAAUGGGUAUCAUUCAUGCCAGUUCACUAGUAUGGAUGGAUACUAUACUCCCUGAAAUGAAUGGUCAUUAGAUAUUUCCUCAGAAAUCUUCAUUUUUUCACAGAGUUAUUCAAGUAAUUUAUUUUUUACCAAGUCAGCAGCUAUAUAUCUGCUGAUGGAAAGAGAAUCCAUGUUCUGGAAAAGAAAACAUGUGUGCAGCGAUUUUUUCAAGAUUUUGGUCACAAGCCCAAGAUCACUCAGAUAAUUACAUUCACUGGCAUUCAUCGACGUUUGCUGAACAUUUAUGGAGACCAAACAGUGGAUGUGAAUACAGUGAUGAAGUGGGUGGUGCAUUUCAACAGUGGCAACACUGACAGUGGGUCACCUCCAGUGGUGCAGAUUUUUACAAGUGCAGCAUGCAGGCUCUUGUUCAUGGCUGGCAAAAAUGCAUAGUUGAUGGUG